GACGAACCGUGCGAACGUUAUUCGGAAUCACUGGGCUUAAAGCGCGUGUAGGCGGGCCGCCACGUCGGCUGCUGAAAUCCCCCGGCUCAACCGGGGAACGGGCACCGAUACGAGCGGCCUCGAGGGGGGUAGGGGGGUCUGGAACUUCCGGUGGAGCGGUGAAAUGCGUAGAGAUCCGGAAGAACACCGGUGGCGAAGGCGGUUCGCUGGGCCGUAGCUGACGCUGAGGCGCGACAGCGUGGGGAGCAAACAGG
rnacentral:rRNA from 1 species